UCCAGCGUGGUGUAGUGGUUUCAGUGUUGGACUAUGAUUCUGGAGACCAGGAUUCAAAUCCCCGCUCAGGCU
rnacentral:tRNA from 1 species